rnacentral:rRNA from 1 species
GUGCCAGCCGCCGCGGUAAUACGGAGGAUGCAAGCGUUAUCCGGAUUUAUUGGGUUUAAAGGGUGCGUAGGCGGUCUAUUAAGCGUGAGGUGAAAAGCCAGUGCUCAACAUUGGUCGUGCCUCCCGAACUGGUGGACUGGAAUGCGGAUGCCGUGGGAGGAAUGUGUGGUGUAGCGGUGAAAUGCAUAGAGAUCACACAGAACACCGAUUGCGAAGGCAUCUCACGAAUCCGCGAUUGACGCUGAGGCACGAAAGCGUGGGGAUCAAACAGGAUUAGAUACCCUGGUAGUCCACGCAGUAAACGAUGAUGACUAACCGUCGGCGAUACACAGUCGGUGGCCAAGCGAAAGCGAUAAGUCAUCCACCUGGGGAGUACGACCGCAAGGUUGAAACUCAAAGGAAUUGACGGGGGCCCGCACAAGCGGAGGAACAUGUGGUUUAAUUCGAUGAUACGCGAGGAACCUUACCCGGGCUCGAACGGCAGGUGAAGAGAUCCAGAGAUGGUGACGUCCUACGGGACACCUGUCGAGGUGCUGCAUGGUUGUCGUCAGCUCGUGCCGUGAGGUGUCGGCUCAAGUGCCAUAACGAGCGCAACCCUUGCCGUCAGUUGCCAUCAGGUAAAGCUGGGGACUCUGGCGGGACUGCCACCGCAAGGUGUGAGGAGGGGGGGGAUGACGUCAAAUCAGCACGGCCCUUACGUCCGGGGCGACACACGUGUUACAAUGGUGACUACAGAGGGGUACUACCUGGUGACAGGAUGUGAAUCUCGAAAAGUCAUCUCAGUUCGGAUCGGAGUCUGCAACCCGACUCCGUGAAGCUGGAUUCGCUAGUAAUCGCGCAUCAGCCAUGGCGCGGUGAAUACGUUCCCGGGCCUUGUACACACCGCCCGU